rnacentral:lncRNA from 1 species
GCCCCCCCCGGCUCGGUGCUGCCGAGGCCGCGGGGGCCCCCCCGGGAUGGCUUUUGGGGGGGCCCCCGGAACGUGGCUGAGGGAUCCCCCCAAAAUGGCCCCGGGGUGGGGCGGGGGCACGAGGGGGGCGCCCCUUGCGAGGUCCGGGUGCAAAGUCUUGGUGCGAGGUCCUGGUGAGGGGGGGGUCCCCAAAAGAGGUCCCCAAGUGUGGCGCCGGUCGGAUCCUCGGGUUGGGUCCCCACAUGUGGCGCCAGAUGGAUCUGAUGGACCCUUGGGUGCUGGAUGGAUCCUCGGGUUGGGUCCCCAUGUGUGGUGCCAGAUGGAUCUGAUGGACCCUCGGGUGCUGGAUGGAUCCUCGGGUUGGGUCCCCACAUGUGGUGCCAGAUGGAUCUGAUGGACCCUUGGGUGCUGGACAGAUCCUUGGGUCAGAUCCCCACAUGUGGUGUCAGAUGGAUCUGAUGGACCCUUGGGUGCCGGAUGGAUCCUCGGGUCAGAUCCCCACGUGUGGUGUCAGAUGGAUCUGAUGGACCCUUGGGUGCCGGAUGGAUCCUCGGGUCAGGUCCCCACGUGUGGCGCCGGUCGGAUCCUCGGGUUGGGUCCCCACAUGUGGCGCCAGAUGGAUCCUCAGGCAAGGUCCCCACGUGUGGUGCCAGAUGGAUCCUCGAGUCAGAUCCCCACGUGUGGCCCUGGAUGGAUCCGAUGAACCCUUGGGUUCCAGUCAGAUCUCGGGUCAGGUCCUCACGUGUGGCGCCGGUCGGAUCCUCGGUUCGGGUCCCCACGUGUGGCCCUGGAUGGAUCCUCAGGCGAGGUCCCCACGUGUGGCGCCAGAUGGAUCCGAUGGACCCUUGGGCGCCGGUCGGAUCCUCGGGUUGGGUCCCCACAUGUGGCGCCAGAUGGAACUUCGGGCACAGGAUGGAUCCUCGAGCACCCGAUGGAUCCACAGGCACCAGACGGAUCCUUGAGCACCUGACAGAUCCUCGGGCACUGGAUGGAUCCUCGGGCUCUGGAUGGAUCCUUGAGCACCCAACAGAUCCUCGAGCACCCAGCAGAUCCUUGAGCACCCGAUGAAUCCUCGAGCACCCGACAGAUCCUCGAGCACCCAACAGAUCCUCGGGCACCAGAUGGAUCCUCGGGCUCUGGAUGGAUCCUUGAGCACCCAACAGAUCCUUGAGCACCCGACAGAUCCUCGAGUACCCAAUGGAUCCUCGAGCAUCCGAUGGAUCCUCAAGCACCCGAUGGAUCCUCAAGCACCCGAUGGAUCCUCGGGUGACGCUGGUUGGAUCCUUGUGCAAGGCCCUCAUGCAAAGCCAGGUCCUCGUGUGACACCGCGCCCGGGCACACCCGCGGCUCCCAGUGUGACACCCCGGUGUGGCACACCUGCGGCUCCCGGUGUGACACCAUGACCGGGCACACCCGCGGCUCCCGGUGUGACACCCUGGUGUGGCACACCCGCAGCUCCUGGUGUGACACCGCGGCCUGGCACACCGCACACCUGCGGCUCCCGGUGUGACACCGCGC